rnacentral:rRNA from 1 species
CGGGGUGGAGUAAUGUCUGGGAAACGUGCCUGAUGGAGGGGGAUAACUACUGGAAACGGUAGCUAAUACCGCAUAACGUCGCAAGACCAAAGAGGGGGACCUUCGGGCCUCUUGCCAUCGGAUGUGCCCAGAUGGGAUUAGCUAGUAGGUGGGGUAACGGCUCACCUAGGCGACGAUCCCUAGCUGGUCUGAGAGGAUGACCAGCCACACUGGAACUGAGACACGGUCCAG